rnacentral:rRNA from 1 species
GAUGAACGCUGGCGGCGUGCCUAAUACAUGCAAGUCGAGCGAACAGACGAGGAGCUUGCUCCUCUGACGUUAUCGGCGGACGGGUGAGUAACACGUGGAUAACCUACCUAUGAGACUGGGAUAACUUCGGGAAACCGGAGCUAAUACCGUAUAAUAUAUUGAACCACAUGGUUCAAUAGUGAAAGACGAUUGUGCUGUCACUUAUAGAUGGAUCCGCGCCGCAUUAGCUAGUUGGUAAGGUAACGGCCUACAAAGGCAACGAUUCGUAGCCGACCUGAGAGGGUGAUCGGCCACACUGGAACUGAGACACGGUCAAGCCUCCUACGGGAGGCAGCAGUAGGGAAUCUUCGGCAAUGGGCGAAAGCCUGCCGGAGCACCGCCGGGUGAGUGAUGAAGGUCUUCGGAUCGUAAAACUCUGUUAUUAGGGAAGAACAAAUGUGUAAGUAACUAUGCACGUCUUGACGGUACCUAAUCAGAAAGCCACGGCUAACUACGUG